rnacentral:rRNA from 1 species
CCUACGGGCGACAGCAGUAGGGAAUAUUGCUCAAUGGGCGAAACCCUGAAGCAGCAACGCCGCGUGGAGGAUGAAGGUUUUCGGAUUGUAAACUCUUUUUGUUAGAGAAGAUAAUGACGGUAUCUAACGAAUAAGCACCGGCUAACUCCGUGCCAGCAGCCGCGGUAAUACGGAGGGUGCAAGCGUUACUCGGAAUCACUGGGCGUAAAGGGCGCGUAGGCGGGAUAGCAAGUCAGAUGUGAAAUCCUAUGGCUUAACCAUAGAACUGCAGUUGAAACUGUUAUUCUAGAGUAGUGGAGAGGUAGGUGGAAUGCUUGGUGUAGGGGUAAAAUCCGUAGAGAUCAAGAGGAAUCCUCAUUGCGAAGGCGACAUGCUAGAACCUAACUGACGCUGAUGCGCGAAAGCGUGGGGAGCGAACAGGAUUAGAUACCCUUGUAGUC